GCCACAUCACGUUCAAAACACCGGUUCCCUUGCAACCAUAGAAGUUAAGCAACGUCGAGCCUAGUCAAUACCUAGAGGGUGACUGCUUGUGAAUUCCAAGUGCUGUAAU